GUGAAAGUAGCAUAAUGGAAGUGCGGCUAGCUUGAAACUAGUUUUAGGGGGUUCGAUUCCUUCCUUUCUCG
rnacentral:tRNA from 1 species